AACGAACGCUGGCGGCAUGCCUAACACAUGCAAGUCGAACGAGACCUUCGGGUCUAGUGGCGCACGGGUGCGUAACGCGGGGGAACCUGCCCUUAGGUUCGGAAUAACUCCCCGAAAGGGGUGCUAAUACCGGAUAAUGUCUUCGGACCAAAGAUUUAUCGCCUUUGGAUGGGCCCGCGUUGGAUUAGCUAGUUGGUAGGGUAAAAGCCUACCAAGGCGACGAUCCAUAGCUGGUCGGAGAGGAUGAUCCGCCACGCUGGGACUGAGACACGGCCCAGACUCCGACGGGAAGCAGCAGUGGGGAAUAUUGGACAAGGGGCGAAAGCCUGAUCCAGCAAUGCCGCGUGAGUGAUGAAGGCCUUAGGGUUGUAAAGCUCUUUUAGCCGGGAUGAUAAUGACAGUACCGGGAGAAUAAGCUCCGGCUAACUACGUG
rnacentral:rRNA from 1 species